AUCCUCUGUGGUGCAAUGGGUCAGUUUGCCUGGCUGUUAACCAUAAGGUUGGUGUUUGGAGCCCACCCAGGGACA